UGUGAGGUCAAGGUGAGGGCUCUGUUCCUCCAGGGGCUUCAGCUGGGGCCCUAACACGCACAUGUCCCUGGUGAUGUGGAGGCCCCCCGGACCGGCUGUGUUAGCCGCUGUCCUCCGCUCAGUGUCCCUGCUCACCGCCUCACAGAGAAUGAGACAGAAGAACUGAACUGAGUCGUCUUACCUAAGUGAGAUGCCGGGGUGAGGAAGUUUCCAGGAUGGUGGGCUGGAUGACCGAAGGGACCUGCAGAUGGGUGUGUGGGACCUGAGGAGGCAGAGAGAAGAGGAAGUAACUGAUCCCAGUGCAGCUGAUGACCUGUCUGACUGUGACAGUCCAUGUCUACUGAAGUGCAUUCAAGGUCCAAAGGGGAUGAAGUCCACUGACUUUUUGUAAUUCCCUGACUUUUAAUCUAGUGCCACCAGCAGGUCAAAUCUUUUAUUUGUCUGUGACUUAAUUGCAAAGCAAAUGCUAGUAUUCUAAAUUAAGAGCAUUGGCUAUUCUAUCAGACACGUGAAAUAUACCUCGUUUGAGGAUGACCACAAGAUACAGUUGAAAGCUCCCGAAACACCUGCAAGCUAGUUUAAAGUUAAAAUUGUUUUGGCCACAAUGGCUGAAGGGAGAUGCAUUAAACAGACAUUGUCACUAUUGUUUUGAUGUUGUGGAUUGUUAGGAUUGUUGACAGACGAUCAUGUGAACAGACAACGUCUUCAGUCUGAACACCAUGAAAUGAUGGACGGCUACUGUUGUAAAGCAUCAAUCAAUCUUUCUACCCGGAGAUCAGACACACUCACCUGCAGCGGAGAAAAGCGUAGCUGGGCGUGCCAGGUCGUUGGGGUGAUGGAUGGCGCCGAACAGGCCAGGGCCUGGAGGUCGACUCAGGAACUCAUGUUUGAGGCCAAAGUCAAGCUUGUGAGGGUCGACCUGCAUCUGCUGCUGGAAGACGCCAGAGCAACACAGAGAAAAACGUCAAACACUGCUGGAAACGUAUUAUUAGUUAUUAACAGUGCAAAGAAAUGUUAAUCUAAUGUGAAGCACAUUACAGUAAGUGACUACUGAAGAAGCUGGACUCAAGGACACAUACCGGAGUCGUCUGGCUGCCAGGUUCCUUAAUAGACCCAUCAUUAUAACCUCAUUAUGAUUAUGGUUACGACUACAGAAACCAGACAUUAAAUUAGUUCUAAUUUUAAUUAUUCAAAGAAGUGACUGUGAAACAGUAGGGUUACUAUCAGAGAGUAGGUCAGCUUCUGUCUUCACAGUAUGAAGCAAUUAUUCAGAAUUAUAGUUUAUGUACUGAUGCAGCCAAACUCUCAAGACUUUUCCAGUUGAUGAGGUCGAGCUGUGUUUAAAAUCCAUACUUCACCAACUCUGAGACAGUUUUAGUGUGUAUUGUGUACAAACGGAAAGUCAGUGUGCACACUAAUAACAUGUACAGGGUGAGUGAGUCACCACUUCUUUUUUAAUUGCUGUGAUUAUUUUGAUUAUGAUUUUGUGCUAAUUGUGUAAACUGAUUUUGAUUAAUAAAGGUUUUUGGACAUAA